rnacentral:rRNA from 1 species
CUUGCUGGGGUGGAUGAGUGGCGAACGGGUGAGUAACACGUGAGUAACCUGCCCCCGACUUCGGGAUAAGCCCGGGAAACUGGGUCUAAUACCGGAUAUGACCGUUCCUCGCAUGAGGAAUGGUGGAAAGUUUUUUCGGUUGGGGAUGGGCUCGCGGCCUAUCAGUUUGUUGGUGAGGUAAUGGCUCACCAAGACGACGACGGGUAGCCGGCCUGAGAGGGCGACCGGCCACACUGGGACUGAGACACGGCCCAGACUCCUACGGGAGGCAGCAGUGGGGAAUAUUGCACAAUGGGGGAAACCCUGAUGCAGCGACGCAGCGUGCGGGAUGACGGCCUUCGGGUUGUAAACCGCUUUCAGUAGGGAAGAAGCCAUCCUUUUAGGGUGGUGACGGUACCUGCAGAAGAAGUACCGGCUAACUACGUGCCAGCAGCCGCGGUAAUACGUAGGGUACGAGCGUUGUCCGGAAUUAUUGGGCGUAAAGAGCUCGUAGGUGGUUGGUCACGUCUGCUGUGGAAACGCAACGCUUAACGUUGCGCGUGCAGUGGGUACGGGCUGACUAGAGUGCAGUAGGGGAGUCUGGAAUUCCUGGUGUAGCGGUGAAAUGCGCAGAUAUCAGGAGGAACACCGGUGGCGAAGGCGGGACUCUGGGCUGUAACUGACACUGAGGAGCGAAAGCAUGGGGAGCGAACAGGAUUAGAUACCCUGGUAGUCCAUGCCGUAACGUUGGGCACUAGGUGUGGGGGACAUUCCACGUUCUCCGCGCCGUAGCUAACGCAUUAAGUGCCCCGCCUGGGGAGUACG